rnacentral:rRNA from 1 species
UACGUAGGGUGCGAGCGUUGUCCGGAAUUACUGGGCGUAAAGAGCUCGUAGGUGGUUUGUCGCGUUGUUCGUGAAAACUCACAGCUUAACUGUGGGCGUGCGGGCGAUACGGGCAGACUGGAGUACUGCAGGGGAGACUGGAAUUCCUGGUGUAGCGGUGGAAUGCGCAGAUAUCAGGAGGAACACCGGUGGGCGAAGGCGGGGUCUCUGGGCAGUAACUGACGCUGAGGAGCGAAAGCGUGGGGGAGCGAACAGG